rnacentral:rRNA from 1 species
CCUACGGGGGGCAGCAGUGAGGAAUAUUGCGCAAUGGGGGAAACCCUGACGCAGCAACGCCGCGUGAGUGAGGAAGGUUUUCGGACCGUAAAGCUCUGUCGAGCGGGAAGAAGUGCAUGGUGGCUAAUAUCCAUUAUGCUUGACGGUACCGCUAAAGGAAGCACCGGCUAACUCCGUGCCAGCAGCCGCGGUAAUAAGGGGGGAGCUAGCGUUGGUCGAGAUCAUGUGGCGUACAGAAUAAGUAGGAGGCGAAAGCCCUGGGCUUAACCUAGGAAGUGCAUUUGAAACUGUUCAGCUUGAGUAAGGGAGAGGAAAGUGGAAUUCCUGGUGUAGAGGUGAAAUUCGUAGAUAUCAGGAGGAACACCGGUGGCGAAGGCGACUUUCUGGCCCUAUACUGACGCUGAGACGCGAGAGCGUGGGUAGCAAACAGGAUUAGAUACCCGGGUAGUC